AAAGAAAGAACAGGAACGCAAGAUCAGAGGUGAAGAUGGAGAGGAAGAAUGAAGAGGGCCAACAGGAAACAGGAAGUGACUUAAAAACAAACAUGGCUGACAGGCGGCGGCGCUGCUCCAGGGAGAAACUUCGAGAUUUGCUUGUUGGAUUUCGUCAAGGUACUGGCGAGGUUCUGUGGAGAAGUUAGGAGCCGUCAGUAUCCAACCUGCAGUCAGACGGCUCUCUGAUUGGAGAAUCACAAACUCACCUGUCAGCCUGAACAGCAAGCGGAUAGCUUCUUCUUCGGUUUAUUUUUUUCCUCGCACCGCGCCUCCCCUAAUGUGCUCUGGCGCCCCCCAGAGGAGGCGCGCCUCACACUUUGAAAACCGCCGAUUUAGAUCAAUAAUGAAGAUGGAAAAUGUUGAUUUGCUGUGCAGCUGGGAGUCAAGGCCAUCAGUGAUGGAUUGUGGGUAAGAGUUCAUCUUUUCAGAGAACUGCUUGUUUUACAACGAGGCGCUGCGGCAUUUAGCUCUUGGUUUGUUAAAUAUUAUCAAACUGUAAUAAAUUUGA